rnacentral:rRNA from 1 species
AUUGAACGCUGGCGGCAGGCUUAACACAUGCAAGUCGAGCGGGCGAGGUUGCUUCGGUAACUGAGCUAGCGGCGGACGGGUGAGUACAGCUUAGGAAUCUGCCUAUUAGUGGGGGACAACAUUCCGAAAGGGAUGCUAAUACCGCAUUCGUCCUACGGGAGAAAGCAGGGGAUCACUUGUGACCUUGCGCUAAUAGAUGAGCCUAAGUCGGAUUAGCUAGUUGGUGGGGUAAAGGCCUAUCAAGGCGACGAUCUGUAGCGGGCCUGAGUGGAUGAUCCGCCACACUGGGACUGAGACACGGCCCAGACUCCUACGGGAGGCAGCAGUGGGGAAUAUUGGACAAUGGGGGGAACCCUGAUCCAGCCAUGCCGCGUGUGUGAAGAAGGCCUUUUGGUUGUAAAGCACUUUAAGCGAGGAGGAGGCUUACCUGGUUAAUACCUGGGAUAAGUGGACGUUACUCGCAGAAUAAGCACCGGCUAACUCUGUGCCAGCCGCCGCGGUAACAC